rnacentral:rRNA from 1 species
UACGUAGGCAGCGAGCGUUGUUCGGAGUUACUGGGCGUAAAGCGUGCGCAGGCGGUUCGUUGUGUCCGUCGUGAAAGCCCCGGGCUUAACCUGGGAACUGCGAUGGAAACUAGCGAGCUGGAGUGUGGCAGGAGGGGGGUGGAAUUCCGGCGUGUAGCAGUGAAAUGCGUAGAGAUGCGGAGGAACACCGAUGGCGAAGGCAGCCCCCUGGGCUAACACUGACGCUCAGGCACGAAAGCGUGGGGAGCAAACAGG